ensembl:lncRNA LINC00158 long intergenic non-protein coding RNA 158
AGUGGGGAAUUUCCUUAUUUGAAGUCUUGCCACUUCAGUGACUUUCUAAAUAGAAAUUAGAGAACCCAGAAAGGUUUUGAAAAAAUUUUUAGUUCUUCCUGGCAAUUGCAUGUAUAUUUUUUUCUGCAUGUUAUUUGGAUGUGAGGAGCUGUCAUUAUUAUUUUAGGAACAAAUAUGAAACAAUCUCUGGAAAAUGGAAUUUGAUUUUGAUUCAACAACAGGAGAAUUCUACUGUUUUUCUCCAGCAGCUCCACGAUAAAAGGGAACCCUGAGCAGAACACAUGCACAAACUCAUGCCAUACCCUAAGGGACAAGGUUCCCCACAUCUACUUGGAAAUCUUUGGGAUGCUCAAUGGAGAAAAACAAGGAGAGAAAAAUCUAAACCCAGCAGAAGAGAAAGUUUAAGAAAGCGGUCGUCGCCAAUACCAAAAUUAGCUAUGAUAUUCAGGAAGAAAAAAAUGGAAACACGAUAACCACAGUCAAUAAAGACCAAGGCCACAUUCCAUUGACCAGAGCUCAGCCACGCGCCACACCUGGCUAAAGAGACUCUGGCUGAAGAAUUCCCUGAAUAUUUUAAUGUAGCUCUAGGUUAUAACACAGAACAACCACAAGGUGGCAGAAGAACUCCAUUCUUGUAAAUCUCUUAGUUGCUUCUUUAUUUCAUCUUCCCUAUUCCAUCUAAUGUUCCCUGAAUUUUACUAUUUUGUUGGUUUGAAAAUAUGUGUGACUUACGUCCUUUAAAGGAUUUGGUUCGUAAGGUUUUGAAUAGACUGGAAUAUAAAACAUUUAUAGAAAAGAAAAAUACCUACAGUAUGAUGUUAGUGAACUAUUAAUAAUCCAAUUAAAUAAAAUAUAUUUGCUUUGGAUUAA